rnacentral:tRNA from 1 species
GGGAAUUAGCUCAGCUGGUUCAGAGCACUUGCCUUACAAGCAAGGGGUCGUUGGUUCGAAUCCAACAUUGCCC